AUUAAAAACCAAUGCCCUUCGGGGCUCUCUGGUGAUUCAUAAUAACUUCUCGAAUCGCACGGCCUUGCGCCGGCGAUGGUUCAUUCAAAUUUCUGCCCUAUCAACUUUCGACGGCUGGGUCUUGGCCAGCCGUGGUGACAACGGGUAACGGAGGGUUAGGGCUCGACCCCGGAGAAGGAGCCUGAGAAACGGCUACUACAUCCAAGGAAGGCAGCAGGCGCGCAAACUACCCAAUCCCGACACGGGGAGGUAGUGACAAUAAAUACUGAUACAGGGCUCUUUCGGGUCUUGUAAUUGGAAUGAGUACAAUUUAAAUCCCUUAACGAGGAACAAUUGGAGGGCAAGUCUGGUGCCAGCAGCCGCGGUAAUUCCAGCUCCAAUAGCGUAUAUUAAAGUUGUUGAGGUUAAAAAGCUCGUAGUUGAACCUUGGGCCUAGCCGGCCGGUCCGCCUCACCGCGUGCACUGGCUCGGCUGGGUCUUUCCUUCUGGAGAACCGCAUGCCCUUCACUGGGUGUGCC
rnacentral:rRNA from 1 species